rnacentral:rRNA from 1 species
GAUGAACGCUAGCGGCAGGCUUAAUACAUGCAAGUCGAGGGGCAGCAGGACUGUAGCACUACAGUUGCUGGCGACCGGCAAACGGGUGCGGAACACGUACGCAACCUACCCAAAACUGGGGGAUAGCCCGGGGAAACCCGGAUUAAUACCUCGUAACCUUUUUAAGUGGCAUCACUUGAUAAGUAUAGCUCCGGCGGUUUUGGAUGGGCGUGCGCCUGAUUAGGUAGUUGGUGCGGGUAACGGCCCACCAAGCCUGCGAUCAGUAACUGGUGUGAGAGCACGACCAGUCACACGGGCACUGAGACACGGGCCCGACUCCUACGGGAGGCAGCAGUAAGGAAUAUUGGUCAAUGGACGCAAGUCUGAACCAGCCAUGCCGCGUGUAGGAUGAAGGUCCUCUGGAUUGUAAACUUCUUUUAUGGGGGACGAAACCCGGAUAUUCUUAUCCGAUUGACGGUACCUCAGGAAUAAGCACCGGCUAACUCCGUG